rnacentral:miRNA from 1 species
UCCCAUCUUCCUCCAACCUACUAUAGUACUGAAAAAAAAUAUAGUAGAGUGGGGGAAGAUGGGACAC